UCGAGUUGUAAAUUGUAAGAAGAACUUAUAAACAAGACAAAAACUUAGAAAAAUGACAUAAAACUAGUAAAUUGACAUUAAUUGUGAAAUAAAACAAAAAAUGUGUAAAUCACACAUAAAACUAGUAAAUUGAAGGAAAAAUGAGUAAAUUAAUGUUGGAGUUGUAAUUUGUACGAAAAACUUGUAAACAAAACAAAAACUUAGAAAAAUGAUAUAGAACUAGUAAAUUCACAUUAAUUAUGAAAUAAAACAAAAAAUAUGUAAACCACACAUAAAACUAGUAAAUGUAUGGAAAAAAUGGUAAAUUAAUGUUCGAGUUGUAAAUUGUAAGAAGAACUUGUAAACAAGACAAAAACUUAGAAAAAUGACAUAGAACUUGUAAAUUCACAUUAAGUGUGAAAUAAAACAAAAAAUAUGUAAAUUACACAUAAAACUAGUAAAUUAAUGAAAAAAAUGGUAAAUUAAUGUUGGAAUUGUAAUUUGCACGAAACACUUGUAAACCAAACAAAAACUUAUAAAAAUGACAUAGAACUAGUAAAUUGACAUUAAUUGUGAAAUAAAACAAAAAAUGUGUAAAUCACACAUAAAACUAGUAAAUUGAUGGAAAAAUGAGUAAAUUAAUGUUGGAGUUGUAAUUUGUACGAAAAACUUGUAAACAAAACAAAAACUUAGAAAAAUGACAUAGAACUAGUAAAUUCACAGUAAGUGUGAAAUAAAACAAAAAAUAUGUAAACCACACAUAAAACUAGUAAAUUAAUGAAAAAAAUGAUAAAUUAAUGUUCGAGUUGUAAAUUGUAAGAAGAACUUGUAAACAAGACAAAAACUUAGAAAAAUGACAUAAAACUAGUAAAUUGACAUUAAUUGUGAAAUAAAACAAAAAAUGUGUAAAUCACACAUAAAACUAGUAAAUUGAAGGAAAAAUGAGUAAAUUAAUGUUGGAGUUGUAAUUUGUACGAAAAACUUGUAAACAAAACAAAAACUUAGAAAAAUGACAUAGAACUAGUAAAUUCACAGUAAGUGUGAAAUAAAACAAAAAAUAUGUAAACCACACAUAAAACUAGUAAAUUAAUGAAAAAAAUGAUAAAUUAAUGUUCGAGUUGUAAAUUGUAAGAAGAACUUGUAAACAAGACAAAAACUUAGAAAAAUGACAUAGAACUUGUAAAUUCACAUUAAGUGUGAAAUAAAACAAAAAAUAUGUAAAUUACACAUAAAACUAGUAAAUUAAUGAAAAAAAUGGUAAAUUAAUGUUGGAAUUGUAAUUUGCACGAAACACUUGUAAACCAAACAAAAACUUAUAAAAAUGACAUAGAACUAGUAAAUUGACAUUAAUUGUGAAAUAAAACAAAAAAUGUGUAAAUCACACAUAAAACUAGUAAAUUGAUGGAAAAAUGAGUAAAUUAAUGUUGGAGUUGUAAUUUGUACGAAACACUUGUAAACAAAACAAAAACUUAGAAAAAUGAUAUAGAACUAGUAAAUUGACAUUAAUUGUGAAAUAAAACAAAAAAUGUGUAAAUCACACAUAAAACUAGUAAAUUGAUGGAAAAAUGAGUAAAUUAAUGUUGGAGUUGUAAUUUGUACGAAAAACUUGUAAACAAAACAAAAACUUAGAAAAAUGACAUAGAACUAGUAAAUUCACAGUAAGUGUGAAAUAAAACAAAAAAUAUGUAAACCACACAUAAAACUAGUAAAUUAAUGAAAAAAAUGAUAAAUUAAUGUUCGAGUUGUAAAUUGUAAGAAGAACUUGUAAACAAGACAAAAACUUAGAAAAAUGACAUAAAACUAGUAAAUUGACAUUAAUUGUGAAAUAAAACAAAAAAUGUGUAAAUCACACAUAAAACUAGUAAAUUGAAGGAAAAAUGAGUAAAUUAAUGUUGGAGUUGUAAUUUGUACGAAAAACUUGUAAACAAAACAAAAACUUAGAAAAAUGAUAUAGAACUAGUAAAUUCACAUUAAUUAUGAAAUAAAACAAAAAAUAUGUAAACCACACAUAAAACUAGUAAAUGUAUGGAAAAAAUGGUAAAUUAAUGUUCGAGUUGUAAAUUGUAAGAAGAACUUGUAAACAAGACAAAAACUUAGAAAAAUGACAUAGAACUUGUAAAUUCACAUUAAGUGUGAAAUAAAACAAAAAAUAUGUAAAUUACACAUAAAACUAGUAAAUUAAUGAAAAAAAUGGUAAAUUAAUGUUGGAGUUGUAAUUUGUACGAAAAACUUGUAAACAAAACAAAAACUUAGAAAAUUGACAUAGAACUAGUAAAUUCACAUUAAGUGUGAAAUAAAACAAAAAAUAUGUAAACCACACAUAAAACUAGUAAAUUAAUGAAAAAAAUGGUAAAUUAAUGUUCGAGUUGUAAAUUGUAAGAAGAACUUGUAAACAAGACAAAAACUUAGAAAAAUGACAUAAAACUAGUAAAUUGACAUUAAUUGUGAAAUAAAACAAAAAAUGUGUAAAUCACACAUAAAACUAGUAAAUUGAUGGAAAAAUGAGUAAAUUAAUGUUGGAGUUGUAAUUUGUACGAAAAACUUGUAAACAAAACAAAAACUUAGAAAAAUGAUAUAGAACUAGUAAAUUCACAUUAAUUGUGAAAUAAAACAAAAAAUAUGUAAACCACACAUAAAACUAGUAAAUGUAUGGAAAAAAAUGGUAAAUUAAUGUUCGAGUUGUAAAUUGUAAGAAGAACUUGUAAACAAGACAAAAACUUAGAAAAAUGACAUAGAACUUGUAAAUUCACAUUAAGUGUGAAAUAAAACAAAAAAUAUGUAAAUUACACAUAAAACUAGUAAAUUAAUGAAAAAAAUGGUAAAUUAAUGUUGGAAUUGUAAUUUGCACGAAGCACUUGUAAACCAAACAAAAACUUAUAAAAAUGACAUAGAACUAGUAAAUUGACAUUAAUUGUGAAAUAAAACAAAAAAUGUGUAAACCACACAUAAAACUAAUAAAUUAAUGGAAAAAUAGGUAAAUUAAUGUUACAGUUGUAAAUUGUAAGAAGAACUUAUAAAUAAAACAAAAACUUGUAAAUGUUGCAUAAAACUUGUAAAUCAACAUUAACUUGUAAAAGUUUCAUAAAACUUGUAAAUCACACGUAAAAUUGGUAAAUGUAACCUGGAACUUGAACAAAAAAGAGUAAUUACCUGCUACUUAGGUAACAGGUUACCUAUUUAUUUAGAAUUAAUGGUAGAGAUUUUUUAUUCAAAUCUAACGGUCCACGUCCAUUACGGCAUCAAUGCCGUAAAUUUAAUUACGGCAUUAUAGAAUGACCCUUCCAUAAUUAUAUCUUCAAAAAAAAUCUUUCAUUUUACUAUACUUUCAUUAAUUAUCCUUUAUUGUUUCUAGUUGUAGUACGGCAACUCUCGAAGCUAGUCUUAAUAGACAUCAGUUCAAUGUUAAUGUCGUAACUGACAUUAAAGCAGUGAAAAUGAGUUGCAUACAAAAACAAGAUAAAAUAUUAAGUGCUAGCCCCCUUCUUGUCUGUUAAAAUAUAGCAAAAACCCCUAAAUAUUUCAAAAUCUAGCAAAACCUCCUGUCUUCGGUAUUAUUAAAGUUUAAAAUUCGGAGUUAUCAUUUAAAUUGGGCCCACACAUGAUUAUUUUUAACCCCGUCAAUGUUGUCACGUGUACACCACCAAAUCGGGUGUCUAAAUUGGAUUAACCGUUUGAUUUAUUCAAUAAUUAACGGUAAAGUAGCCACUCCUCCCUUCUCGCUUCUAUGCUCCGUGGGUCCUUUGUAACCUAAUUCCCGUAAACAACGAAUUUGUUCUAAUCUUUACCCAAGGGAUGUGUAUGAGGUCCAUUAGAUCCACGUUUCUUUUGCAACAAAGCCGCUUACUACAUUGCCUUAGGCCCCUUAGCUAAUGGCUAUUUACUAUUUAGACCACUUGCUGGUGGUUAAAACUCUUCUUCCUUUAUAGAUAGAAUGAAUGACUUUGAAUUUUAUUAGAAACCUCAUUUUUUUUUUUUUGGUAAAUAUAUUUUUGUAAGGGUUAAGUAGCUCCGAUAAUGACUUAAUGUAAUGAGAGUAAACUGUAAUAUAAAAUUAAAAAAAAAGAAGGUUUAUAUUAUUUAAUUAUCAAAUGGCUAGGCUUUGGAGUUUUUUUUUGGGGGGGGGAGACAAAAAAAUUCUUAUUAAAUAGAACAAAAUUUAAAAAAUGACAAGCUAAGUGAUGCAAAAAAUCUUCCAUCAUUACAAAACAACUACGGGAACGAACUAUAAAGUUAGCUAAAGCAACUUCAUCACAAUUAGCUUAGGAGAAAUUUUGAUCUCUAGAGAGUAUAUUAAUUAUCAAACAAACAGAAACACCGUUAAAAAUAUAAAUAAAUAAAAUAAAGAUAAAAUCUCUAAAUAGGUUAUACUUUGUCAUAUGUAGAGCAGGAACCUUAUUAUGAAUCAUAAAUAAAAAUAUAUAUUAGUUAUAUUAUAAAUUUUAGGGAAAUUAUCAUUCGUAUAUCCUAUAUUUACUCUGUUAUAAAAAAUACUACAAUACUUUGAGGGUGUAUCAAUCGUCCACCCUUAAUUGACAAAAUGUAUCAGCCGACCACCAAACCAUUAGUUACCGUUUGAAAGUUAACGGAAUUACAGUGAAUUGACGAUUUUACCCUUGAAAAUUAUCACUUGUAUACCCUUAAAUUCUCUUUUUAUCACUUGUAUACCCUUAAAUUAUCACUUGUAUCAUAUGAAAAGACCAAAUUACCCUUCUGACGUCAUCAUACUUAAACGGCAACUAACGGUUUGGUGGUCAGCUAAUACAUUUUAUCAACUUAGGGUAGACGAUUGAUACACCCUCAAAGUGUUGUAGUAUUUUUUAUAAUGGAGUAAACUAAGGGUAUACAAAUGAUAAUUUCCCUAAAAUUUAUUUAUUUAAAAUCAAUUCUUACAACGUUCUAAAAUGUCAAAUUAUUAAAUAAAAUUCUAUUCUACUAUUGCUAAUCUAUGAAAUUUUAAUUCAAUUAUAUUAUUUUCGCUUAUUGCUUCUUUACUCAAAUUACAUCUUUUUUACCACUCUUUUUUUAGAUUAAACUAAUUUUCCUAUUUUCUAUUUUUUAAAGUUUUUCGACACAGUUUUAUUUCAAAAUGGAUAAAAUAAGCACACAAAUAAUAAUAAUAAUAAUAGUAGAUGAACAAAAGAAUAAAUUAAAAAGAAAUAAGAACAAUUAAAUAACACAACUAAUUAAGAGAAAAAUAAAAAGAUAAAAUCUGAAAUUUGUGAUGAAAUCAUAAACUAACUUUAUCUUUAAUUGUUUGAGAAUUUAAGCAAUGAGUAGUAUUAAGGGUGUUCAGAAUCCAAUCUGAUCCAUUAAAUCCAUAUGGUCCGCAGAAAUCCGAUCUCUGGAUUGGUGGAUUAGAUUAGAUUUGAAAAUUUGAAAAUCCACAGUCAUUAUAUUGGAUAUGGAUUUACUUCUGUGAAUUCGCAAAAAUCUACGAAUCCGCAAAAAAAUAAAAAAUAUUUAUUUAAUAAAAAAUUAAACUUUUAAAUAUGGAAUUAUACUUACUAAUAAAUAAAUAAGUUAAACUAUACAUUAACACCAUAUUAUGUCUUAUCCGAUAGUAAUAUAAAAUAAAAAUAAUUAAAUAAAAAAACAUAGUUUCCUAAGUAAUUAAUUUUCAUGUAUUGAUCUAAACAAAUGAGAUUUUUUUUUCUUUUUGGUGUGUUAUAUUUUGAAACUUUGAAUGUAUUUUCUAACUUUAUUUAAACAAUUAAUUAAUUUAAAUAUUAUUUAAUUUUAAAUUUAAUCGGUAUUAAAAUUAUUUUUAUAUUAAUUUUUUUACUUAAAGUUUGAAACAUUCAAUCAAAAUCUCUUUUCUCUCCCUUUUCUUUUUAGCGGGUUUAAAAAUCAGUAUUAUCGCAAUGUGGGCACAUUCAGUUAUUGGAUCAACUGAUGAGAUACAACCUAAAUAGAAAAUAUGCAACGCUCUUAGUUAUUACGUACAGAAGGUAACAAAAUUCUCCUCUGCCACUUCCUCCUGCCUUCGACAGUGGCUUCUCAACGAUCUUUUGUUAUAGGCGUUGGCACAAAUAAAGGACGUUGAUAAUUGAGGGAAAAAAUUAAAUAAAUAAAUAAAAAAGGACGGUUGAUUAAUGCUGUCGGUAAUAAAAUAGUGUUGGAUGGGUAGACUUGCGCCUUGACGCAAAAUACGGGAAAGAACAAGCGAACCUGUAAUUCUUGAUAUCUAUGAUGGAGGUGCUGUGAUUUUUCUGGUACCGUGGCUGCUGUAAAAGAAAAAUAUAAUUAUAAAAUAAAAAUUAAUAACAUAUAAUAAAUAUAAUUUUUAAAUAAUAAUUUUAAUAAAAUUAAAAAUAUAAAAUAAAUUUUAUUAUAUAAAUAUAAAUAUAAAAUUAAUUUAAUUUAAUUUUUAAAUUAUAAUAAUUAAUAUUUAUUAAAUAUUUUAAUAUUAUAAUUUUUAUGUUACAAUUAUUCGAUCUCAAUUUCAAACAGUACCUUAAUCGAAUUAGUUGGCAUCGAGAUUCUUCUCCAACUAGAGAGGAACGUCAUAAAAAAUAAUUGUGAGAAUAUCAAUGGGGUUCAAUUGUUCAAACAAGUCCACGCACUUUUUCUCAUUUGUUUCUCUUUUUUAUACAUGACAAUUUCGUAUUUAGUUUAUCAACAUAUAUAUACACUUAUCAUAGAGUUUAUAUUUAUAUUAAUGCACGUGUUACUAUUCAUUAAUUAAAAUAUGCUUUAAAAAAUAAUAAACACCAAGGUUAUUAUCUUUGAUGAAUUCAUAAAUUAUUUAAUAAGUACCAUAAUUUAUUAUUAUAUUUUUAUAAAAAGUUCCAUUUUACUACAUUUUCACUUAAUAUUGUUGGUCCUUUACUGUUACUAAUUGUAAGGUGACGGCUAAUGAAGCCAAUCCUAACAGAAAGUCGUUCAACGUCGAUGCCAUACCAACAUUGAAGGGGUAAAAAUGAGUUCACAUAUAAAACCAAGAUCAAAUCCUGUAAGCUAUUAUCGUUAAUUAUUGAAUAAAUCAAACAUGUUAAUCCAAUUUGGUGGUGUACACGUGCGAACAUAGAGAAGGUUGAAAAUUUAAGAUGUGGGCUAAUUUUAAAUUAUAACUCCGAAUUUCAAACAUUGAUAAUAUUCACAACAAGGAAACAUUUUAAAAUAUAUUGGAGCUAAUACAAUCAACUAAUAUAUAUAUAUAUAUAUAUAUAUAUAUAUAUAUAUAUGGCAUGUGUAUUUGAAUUUAAUAUAAUCUCACUUGAAUGAUGAUAGUUCGAAAUAAAUGCAUAAAUGUCAUAAUAUGAUUUACUUAUUGUAUGAUUGAUAUGGUAUCUUCAAUGUAUUUUAAAAGUUCUCGACAACAGAAGGUUUUGUUGAAUUUUAAAAUAUUAAGAGGUUUUCGCUAUAUUUUAAUAAAUAAGAAGGAGGUUUUACUCAUUUCCCUUAAAUUAAUUUUGUAAACUAAGGUUCUUAGAUCCAUAUUACUUUGGCAACAAACCCGCUUACCACAUUGCCCUUAGCUAAUAGCUAUUUAUUAUUUAGAGCAUUUGUCUGAUGGUUAAUAAUCUUCUUUCUUGGUAAAUAGAAUGACUUUGAAUUUUAUUAGAAACCUCAUAUAUUUUCUUAAUAUAUUUAUGUAAGUGUGAAGUGCACCUGUAUCCGGUGCUCCGAUAGGAAUGUAAAUGAGAGUAAAUUGUAAUUUAAAUUAUGGAAAAAAUAUUUGUAUUAUUUAAUUAUCAAAUGUUUAGGCUUAGGAGAAGGUGUUCUUUUUUCUUUUUAAAUACAAGAAUUAUCAAUAAAUAAGUAAAUAAUAUCUAAAAAAAACAAGUUAAGUUUCGUGAAAAAUCUUCCAUCCUUAAAAAAAAAAAGGAGAAUGAAUUGGAAAUUUAGCUAAAACAUAUACAGAUUUAUUAUAAUUGGUUUUGGAAAAAAUCUUACAAGUAGAUCCUACUUUAGAAUUCAUAAAUUCUAAUAUUUAAAAAAUAAAUGCUAUGCUAAACGACAUCAUAAUUUAAGUAGUUGGUCCUACCUUCAGCUGAGGUGAUAGGGCGGCCGAUAGAAUUUUCUCCCAUAAGUAACGACAUAAUAUCUUAGAUUCGAAAUCUUUAAAGACAAAAUUAGAAAGUGGUGUAAUUGUAAUGUUUGGUACAAAUGUGGCAAAGUAUAAUGGGAUAAGUCCAUUGAAGCCAGGUGAUCUCGUGAACAACGUGUGAUCUAUUAUUAUGUAUUGUCGUGGAAAUGAGAAGUGUCUAGUUGUAAAGCGAAGUCUCCGCUAGAGAAAGUCAGAAGAAAAGGACCAUUGUUGAUUGACGAUAUCAGUAAUAAAAUAAUCCUGGAUGGCUAGACUUGGGCGUUGACGCCGAUUCAACGAAAAGAGAGAAAAGAUUGAAAACGAAGGUAAAAUAUCUUUAAAUAAGUUUAAUCUCCAUCUCAAUGAUAACAAGUUUAAGUGAUGUUAAAAAUCUCCCUUUAUUACAAAACAAUUACGAAGAUGAAGUACAAACUUAGAUAAAUAAAUUAUCUAUAAUAUUAUUAUAAAUGGCUUAAGAGAAGAUCUUAUACCUUAAAGAACAUUAUAAUUAUUAAAUAAAACAAAUAAACAACCCAAUAAAAUAAAAAAUAAAAAAUAAAAUAGAGACGGAGAAUCUUUGAAUAUUUAUAUAUUUAAUAAAAUUUAUAUUAAAUAUUUGCUUUCAUAUAUAUAUAGACACACACACACCAAAAAUAUUACACAUUUUCAAUAUUGAAGUUUUAAUUAUAUAUAUGUAAAUAAUAUUAUAUAUCAAUAUAAUAAAAUAUGCAAAUCUACCGAUAUUUUUCACAUUUACACUAUUAAAAUUUUAAAUCAAUAUAAAAUUUUAAAUGAAAUAUUGUGUAUAUAUCUAUCCUUUCAAAAAAAGAAUAAAAAAAAGAGAAUUAUGUUCAAUAUUUUAGUUUUAAUGGAAAAAACUUAGAAAUCAAUUUAAAAUUAAAAAAAAUAUAAUUGUAUUAUUAGUUGAAUAAAUACGUUAAGAACUUUAAUCUUAAUCUGACAAAGAAAAAAACAUGUUGACUUUGACCUAAUUCAUUUAAUAAUUGUGUCAAAUUUAAUAAUUUAUAUAUAUUUAUUCAUACCAUGUUCAUGUCGAAUAAUCGAGUAUCGCAUCAAAUUUUGACAGCCUUACUUUAAUAUAAUUGUAAAAAUACUCUAGGUCAAACUUAUCAGCUAGCUAGCUGAGUAAUACACCGUACAAUAAUGAACUGACAAAUAAAAUUCUUUAAGGAUAGACUCAAAAGAGAGAGUUAUAGGGGGAUCGGACAUCAAAACAAAUUUGUUAACCUAUUGUGCCAGUUUGGAUCUUUUUAUUUAGCUGGAAAAGAAAAAGGAAAAUAAUAAUGGAACAAAAGUAUGAUAAAAUCAUGACAAAAUUUUUUUUUUUAUGAAUUUUUAAAUUUUCUUUCGUAAUUUAACAUUUUUCUUUUUAAAAAAUUCUCUAAAUUAAUUAAAUUAUAAAAGUUUUUAUCAUUAUGUCGUCAUACUUUUAUUCAUCUAGAAUUGGUGAAGGUAAAAAAUGAUUGACGCUAUCGAUAAUAAUAUAAAAUAAUAUUGAAUGCCUAGACUUGGCCGUUGACGUCUUGGCGCCGAAAAGGAAAAAGAAGAAAAUAAUUGGUAAGGAUCGAACAAGCGAAAAGUCACAGAAAAAUAAUAAUUACAGUUUUAUACGAGACAUUAUUGACUAGCGGGGUUCAAAUAAACCUUUCCCCACCCAUUUUUUAAAUAAAAAUUAAUAAUAUGUAAUAAGUAAAAUUUUUAAAUAAUAAUUUUUAAAAAAUAUUAUUAAUUUUUAAUAAUUAAUUUAACUUUAUACUACAACAAUUAAUUUUUAUUAAUUAUUUUAAUGUUAUAAUUUUUAAUUUACAACUUACAACUGUUGGACCUUAAUUCUAAAUAUAGUUGUACUCGAAUUAGUUGGCAUCCAUACUCUUCACCAACCAUAGAGAAAGUUAAAAAAAAUAAUUGCGAGAACAUCAUGGGAUACAAACAAUACUACUAGUCCACGCACUUUUUCUUGCUUUCAUAUUUGCUUGUCUUUAUGGACGUGACCAUUUCGUAUUUUCGGGUUUAGUUUGUCAUCAUUUUUUUUAUAUGUAUACUUAUCAUACAGUUUAUAUCCAUAUUAAUACGCGUGUCACUAUACAUUAAUUAAAAUAUGCUUUAAAAAAUAAUAAACAAUAAGGUUAUUGUCGUUUGACUAAUUCAUAAAUUAUUUAAGAAGUAUGUUAAUUUAUUAUUUUAUUACUAUAUUAAAAGAAAUUUUCCAUUUUACUACAUUUCAUUUACUGUUGGUCCUUUAUUGUUACUAAUUGAAGGGGUAAAAAUGAGAUCACAUAUAAGACCAAUACCAAAUCCUCUAAGCUACUCUAUCGUUAAUUAUUGAAUAAAUCAAACGUGUUAAUCUAAUUUAGAGGUGUAUACGUGACAGCAUAGUGGAGGUUGAAAAUAUUGAGAUGUGGGCCCAUUUUAAAAUAUAACUCUGAAUUCCAAACGUUAAUAAUAUUCACGAGGGAGAACAGCUAACCAAACAAGCCCACUAGCUUCUUCCCCACCACUUGUACUCAAAAACUCAAAUAUCAUGAACUCUGAUCUGUACGAGGCUGCUGCAAAGGGGAAAUUGAACCCUUCAACCAAUUGGCGAUAGAUCGUCAACUUGGAAGCCUAGUGACUCACAAAAAGAAUACCGUCCUGCACGUCAGCAUAAUUGCAUCCUACACCCAGAAUAAAGAAGGAAAAAGUGUCUCAACCAAGUUUGUGGAACGGAUACUUGAAAUGUGUCCAUCAUUGCUACUACAAGUUAAUGCCAAAGGUGAUGCCCCACUCCAUGCUGCGGCCAGAUGCGGGCAUGCUGCUGUUGUGGAAGCUCUGAUUGAAUUUGCGAAAAAACAGCCCGGUCAAGAGCUAGAAAGUGGCGUGGAAAGUACAGCAAAGCAUAUGCUAGGGAUGAAAAAUGAGGAAGAAGACACAGCGUUGCACGAGGCAGUGCAAAGUGGUAGCCUUGAUGUCGUGGAAAUUUUAUUGGGAGCAGACCCUGCUUUUACGUAUUCUGCUAACGGUAGCGGUGAAACUCCACUUUACUUGGCAGCCGCGAGGGGACAUAAGAAGAUAUCAGCUGAAAUAUUAGAAAAAUGUCCGUUGGCGGCCCAUGAAGGCCCCAAUGGAAAGACUGCCCUUCAUGCAGCAGUCUGCAGUGGCUCUCGCGGUAUGGAUGCGCAUGGUUUCGUACAAAAUUUAAUACCAUAAUUGUUUUUUAAAUUGUUCGGUUUUUUAAUAAAAUUUUUAAAGAUUAAAUAAUUUAUUCUAAUAAAAAUAUAAAUUUUAACCUUUUAAUAACAGAGUUUGAAAACUUUUUAAAAUAUUUAAAUAUCUAAAAUAUUUUUUAUUUGUUUGACAAUUUAUUUUAUAACAUAAUUUAAAAAAAAUUAUUCAUUAAAAUAAUUUUAUAAUUUUAAUCAAAUUUUUAUUGGCAAUCAAAAAAUUAAAUUUUUUUUGAUAAAAAUUUUACUAACAGGAACUAUUCUUAAAUGGAUUUUAUUUUAAAAAUAAUAUCAAACAUAAGCUUAGUUGUUUAAUUUUCUUUUCUUUUUAGGUGUGAUACAACUAUUACUUGACAGAAAGAAAAGUUUGACCAGAGAAAGAGACCAACACGGUUGGACUCCACUCCAUUACGCUGCGUAUAUUGGUCGCUUCGGCUUCUUAAUAUUAGAAGCUUAUAAAUCUGUUGCGUUGAUUCCUGACGAAGAUCGGAAGAUGACAGCUCUUCAUUUAGCAGCCGGCCAAGGGAAUGUUUGGAUGGUACAAGAAAUUAUUGAGUGUUGUCCGGAAUGUUGUGAAUUGGUUGAUGACAGAGGAUGGAAUGUUCUUCACUUUGCUAUGGUUAGUUUUUAUAAAAGUGAAUUGAAACGUCUGCUGAACGAAUAUCCGAUCGUCAGAAAUCUAAUUUUUGAGAAGGAUGCGAAGGGGAACACUCCCUUCCAUGUGCUUGCUGCUGUCUGUCCGCAUCCAGGCAAAGCCGGCUAUGACAUCAUCCCUUACAAAAUUGCUAAAGGUUAUUAUCAAGCUGUCAACAAUCAAAAUAUUAGUGUUGAACACAUAAAUCGUUAUGGAUUUCCUGAACUCGAGGUACUUAAUUCCUUUUUUUUAACUCAUCAAUGUUAUAGUUUUUAUAUGGAUAUCAGCAAUGAAAUUAGAUUUUGAUUUAUGCUAAUUUUUUCUAGAUCUUUUGUCAAGGGUGUUUUUAUAACAAUUAUUUAUUUAGGAUUCAAUUAUAUGCAUUUGUUAUAUGAUACGUAAACAAAACAUUAUUGAUUCUGAUAUCAUAUAUGAAAUUAAUUUUCAGCAUAUUAAUUAAUAAAAUGUAUAGUCCAGCGCGUUAAUGUUGUUGCCACGUCAAUUUUUCCUCCCUCUUCCCCCACGUUUUUUUUUUUUUUUUAAAUUACUUUCUUCUUGUUACAUUUAUAAUUUAGCAAAUAUGAUUGCAGAAAGAAAUCAAAGAAUUGGCCAAAGCUGAUGGCAAUGGACAAUAUCCAGCCGGUGUCAUCAAAAUGAACAAAGAAAAAGAAGAAAAGACUGUGAUUUAUUCGUAUUGGAAAGAUUUAGAUGAAGAUGUCAUUGGAAUGGAAAAAGCAUCAGAAUAUCAUUUGGUAGUGGCAGCACUCAUAGCAACAGUAACCUUUGCUGCGGCAUUCACCUUACCCGGUGGUUACAAGAGUGACACUGAAGACGGCCCAAAUAGGGGCACUGCAAUUCUCAGUAAAAACGCAGCUUUCCAAGCAUUUGUUAUAUCAGACGCCAUAGCCAUGGUCCUCUCACUUUCUGCUGUUUUUGUCCAUUUCAUUCUGUCACUUAAGUUUUUUAAAAAAUUCAUCUUUUUAUUCGUUUUUGCUCUUUCCUUCACCUUAGUUGCCAUGGCGGCAAUGAUAGUAGCAUUUGUUACGGGCACAUAUGCAAUGCUGGCAACACCUUCUUUGUGGCUUGCCAUUGUUACUUGUAUCAUUGGCUUGACCUUCUUCCUCUUGGUGAUUUUCAUGUUUUACAUGGUUUUUUC
rnacentral:lncRNA from 1 species